GGCAGGUCCAAAGGUAGUAGGUUAUCUCAAUUGUUCACAGUCAGUUACAGAUCGAACUCUUUGUUCAACUCUUUCCCCCCUUCUCACUACUACACUUGACUAGUCUUAA
rnacentral:Y_RNA from 1 species